GACGAACGCUGGCGGCGUGCUUAACACAUGCAAGUCGAACGGUAAGGCCCUUCGGGUACGACGAGUGGCGAACGGGUGAGUAACACGUGGGUGAUCUGCCCUGCACUUCGGGAUAAGCCUGGGAAACUGGGUCUAAUACCGGAUAGGACCAUGGACUUCACGGUUUGUGGUGGAAAGCUUUUGCGGUGUGGGAUGGGCCCGCGGCCUAUCAGCUUGUUGGUGGGGUAAUGGCCUACCAAGGCGACGACGGGUAGCCGGCCUGAGAGGGUGUCCGGCCACACUGGGACUGAGAUACGGCCCAGACUCCUACGGGAGGCAGCAGUGGGGAAUAUUGCACAAUGGGCGCAAGCCUGAUGCAGCGACGCCGCGUGAGGGAUGACGGCCUUCGGGUUGUAAACCUCUUUCAAUAGGGACGACAGUGACGGUACCUGACUAAGAAGAC
rnacentral:rRNA from 1 species